UACGGGGGGAGCAAGCGUUAUUCGGAUUUACUGGGCGUAAAGGGCGCGUAGGCGGUAGCACAAGUCAGUUGUGAAAUCUCCGGGCUUAACUCGGAAAGGUCAACUGAUACUGUGCGACUAGAGUGCAGAAGGGGCAACUGGAAUUCUCGGUGUAGCGGUGAAAUGCGUAGAUAUCGAGAGGAACACCUGCGGCGAAGGCGGGUUGCUGGGCUGACACUGACGCUGAGGCGCGAAAGCCAGGGGAGCGAACGGG
rnacentral:rRNA from 1 species